AAAUUCAACGAAAUGGCGGGAAACCCACCAUCAAGCCCUCAACCGUUCGAACCUUUUGAGAUUCCGAUUCUCAAUCAGUCUAUGCUCCAAUUUCACCAUCAACAGUUCUUUUUCUUCAAUUUUCAGUGAUUCGGUGUCACGACGCUAUUAAUUUCACCAUAAUAUACAAGCUUAGCCCCGAUCAACGUCGACCGGAUGGCGAUUCCGGUCGAACGAGGUUCGAGGAGCUGUGAUCUGAGUGGCCGCUUGAUCAAUUUAUCAAAAAAGUCAGGUCCAUAUAUGGGUUCUAUUAUGUAAUUAUAUGGGUCAGAUGGAUGAAAUUUGUGUUGCGAUUUGGUGUAUGACAGUGAUUGGAGUUCUUCGAAAUUAGGGCUUCGAUUUCAAACUGAAAUUUGGGGUUUCCGGAGGCUCAUCCUUUUCUGGAAAUAGAGGAAAUCCUCUUUGCUUAUUGUUCAUUAUGGAGCUUCUAAAUGCAACUUCCAACCGAGUCCUCGAAAAAAUUGAGGGCAAGUGAGAGAACAUAGAGAUUGAGUGCGCGUGCGAGAGCAAGAGGAAAAAACAGGAGUGAGAGCAUGAAACAAGUAAGUACAAAAAAACAGUUUUCUGUUCUCUAAAAGAAUUGGGUCAAAUCUCAUUUUGGUGCAGUAAUUUUCUAAAGUCAUUUACACCAAAUACCCAAAUAGUAUGUUGUUUGCGCACAUUGUCUUUAUGGAAUUUGUAAAGUGGAAAAAGUCGGGAUUCGUACAUGAAUGUUGUUUGUUCUGCAUAGAAAAUAUAUAUUCGUGAAAUUUGACUGUUGUUA